GGGGCUGUGGCUCAGUGGUAGAGCAUGCACCUUACACGUGUGAGGCCCUGGGUUCGAUCCUCAGCACCACA
rnacentral:tRNA from 1 species